ACGUUCCCUACUGGAGAGAGGCCGUUUUCAAAGUGGCCCACCGAAGGAGCAAACCUGCAUCGCCAGGCGAAUCUCUCAGGUAAAGUGGACAGCAGGGGCAGC
rfam:Burkholderiales bacterium RIFCSPHIGHO2_12_FTLL_61_11 rifcsphigho2_12_scaffold_28843, whole genome shotgun sequence.